rnacentral:rRNA from 1 species
CAAUUUAAACAACGAAGAGUUUGAUCCUGGCUCAGGAUGAACGCUAGCGACAGGCUUAACACAUGCAAGUCGAGGGGCAGCACAGGUAGCAAUACCGGGUGGCGACCGGCGCACGGGUGAGUAACGCGUAUGCAACUUGCCUAUCAGAGGGGGAUAACCCGGCGAAAGUCGGACUAAUACCGCAUGAAGCAGGGAUCCCGCAUGGGAAUAUUUGCUAAAGAUUCAUCGCUGAUAGAUAGGCAUGCGUUCCAUUAGGCAGUUGGCGGGGUAACGGCCCACCAAACCGACGAUGGAUAGGGGUUCUGAGAGGAAGGUCCCCCACAUUGGUACUGAGACACGGACCAAACUCCUACGGGAGGCAGCAGUGAGGAAUAUUGGUCAAUGGCCGAGAGGCUGAACCAGCCAAGUCGCGUGAGGGAUGAAGGUUCUAUGGAUCGUAAACCUCUUUUAUAAGGGAAUAAAGUGCGGGACGUGUCCCGUUUUGUAUGUACCUUAUGAAUAAGGAUCGGCUAACUCCGUGCCAGCAGCCGCGGUAAUACGGAGGAUCCGAGCGUUAUCCGGAUUUAUUGGGUUUAAAGGGUGCGUAGGCGGCCUUUUAAGUCAGCGGUGAAAGUCUGUGGCUCAACCAUAGAAUUGCCGUUGAAACUGGGGGGCUUGAGUAUGUUUGAGGCAGGCGGAAUGCGUGGUGUAGCGGUGAAAUGCAUAGAUAUCACGCAGAACCCCGAUUGCGAAGGCAGCCUGCCAAGCCAUUACUGACGCUGAUGCACGAAAGCGUGGGGAUCAAACAGGAUUAGAUACCCUGGUAGUCCACGCAGUAAACGAUGAUCACUAGCUGUUUGCGAUACACUGUAAGCGGCACAGCGAAAGCGUUAAGUGAUCCACCUGGGGAGUACGCCGGCAACGGUGAAACUCAAAGGAAUUGACGGGGGCCCGCACAAGCGGAGGAACAUGUGGUUUAAUUCGAUGAUACGCGAGGAACCUUACCCGGGUUUGAACGCAUUCGGACCGAGGUGGAAACACCUUUUCUAGCAAUAGCCGUUUGCGAGGUGCUGCAUGGUUGUCGUCAGCUCGUGCCGUGAGGUGUCGGCUUAAGUGCCAUAACGAGCGCAACCCUUGCCACUAGUUACUAACAGGUAAAGCUGAGGACUCUGGUGGGACUGCCAGCGUAAGCUGCGAGGAAGGCGGGGAUGACGUCAAAUCAGCACGGCCCUUACAUCCGGGGCGACACACGUGUUACAAUGGCGUGGACAAAGGGAGGCCACCUGGUGACAGGGAGCGAAUCCCCAAACCACGUCUCAGUUCGGAUCGGAGUCUGCAACCCGACUCCGUGAAGCUGGAUUCGCUAGUAAUCGCGCAUCAGCCAUGGCGCGGUGAAUACGUUCCCGGGCCUUGUACACACCGCCCGUCAAGCCAUGGGAGCCGGGGGUACCUGAAGUCCGUAACCGCGAGGAUCGGCCUAGGGUAAAACUGGUGACUGGGGCUAAGUCGUAACAAGGUAGCCGUACCGGAAGGUGCGGCUGGAACACCUCCUUUCUGGAGC